AUGUACUGGAGGAAUAAAGUUUGUGGUGAGGCGCUCACCACACCGCCCAGCACGUGGGCACAGAAUGAGCGCCAGGACACCCGAGGAGCAGGCACUAAAAAUUCAGCCUCCGGGCCACUUCCGUCAGUACAAAGCCCGGGGGUUUACCCUGGCGAAGAGGAGUCUGAAGAUUUAAGAGACCCGAGCUUCACGAGGGACAGCUCUGAGGCCCUUCAUUUGUGGAAUAAGGAGCUACUCCUCUGCCGGUCCACUCGGCCUGUGGGGCUCACAGCGGCGGACGAGGUCGCAGGAUCCAAAGAGGAGGCCUUACUGGGGAGGACCAAGGUCUAGGAUGCACAGUCCUUUGUGCUUUUUACAGGAGCUUUGGGAGUCGAGUGAGGAGCUGGAGGCCUGAGAAAGAGACCAGGUAACAAAGAAAAGAUAGGGGUGUUGAGGCGGAGGAGGGAGCGGUCUGGGCGGAAGGUGAGGAGGGACACGGCGGAGCAGUGCUGAGACAGGGAGCAGUGGCCGUGGGCCUGGGGGCGCGGGCACAGGGACCGGGGCGGGUCCUGGGCGGGCAGACGCAGGGCAGGGUCCCCCGCCGCCAUCGGGGGUCCCCAGGGUGGGGGUGGGGCCAGGCCUCUACACGACCCUCCUCAGCGUCCUUCUCCUGGAUGGAAUCGCAGGCACUUCCUCCCCGUGCUCUGUCUCCCCUUCAUCACACCAAGCGCCAGAAAUCCUCGGGUGAAGGGAUGACCGGCUGCAGACUGCGGGCACCCUCUGGUUUCUCCUGCCCAGCCGCGCCGGGGCUGUCAGGGGCUGCGGGACCGUCCGGGGUUUGUUCGGUCAGGGUCUGGAGAGGUCAUCCGGAUACUCAGCCCACGUACUUGGAAGCCCCUCUCACCGGCAGAGGAGUCCUGUACCCGAAGGCUGGUCAUGGCAGAGGAGGCCACGGCGGCCGCCGGCCGUCUCAGUGACUGCUGCUGUGACAGCCGGGGAGCAGCCGGCUUGCUGUCGCAUAUCACAACCCGGGCCUUUCUCAUUUCUGUAGCAGCUUUAUAAGUCAGCCUGGAGGUUCCCGUUAGACAGACUGAGAAAGGAGGCUUGAAUCUGGGUCACCGAGGAGCACAAUGAAUCAGUGGCGGCCCCAGACUCUUCGCUCGGCCCCCACCGCGCCCCAGCGGGCACCGUCGGGAACUAAGGCUGGAGGUCCUUACUAAGGCUGGAGGGCUCGAGGAAGGAGGCUGUCGAUGUUACUUGUGGGUUUAUCUGACACCAGAAUUAUUCGCGUGGAGGUCCCCGCACGAAAGGAUGUGUGGUUUUCAGGUUUGCUUCUGGCAGAUAAACAGAG
rnacentral:lncRNA from 1 species